GGAGAGAUGCAAAAGCAUUUGGGCUGUGGAAAUGCCUAACUGCUGUGAAUGCUUAGUCAUUCAGUGUGGCCGGAGGUCAAGGUUGAGUGCAAGGCAGAGAGCAGGAAAUAAAACUCAUGAGAAAAGUCACAUGCUACUGAAAACUGGUUGAUUUGGGGAGAAGGGUUGCUGGAUGAAGAGAGCUCCUGGAUUGAGGUCAUGUCCAUGAAGAGAGAGGCAGCAUUUAUGAAAGAUGUAUUGAGAGGAUAGCUCCCAUGGCUCCAGGUUUGAGUUUAUUAUACAGGAUCAAGUUCAGCUGAAUGUAACAGGAAAACUCAAAAGCGGAUAGAGAGUCAGUCUGAGAUGAGUAUGGUGGUUCUGCUCUGCGAAGUGUGCAGGAAUCCAUGCUCUUUCUAGAUUACUCC
ensembl:lncRNA